rnacentral:rRNA from 1 species
AACGCUAGCGGCGCGCUUAUGCAUGCAAGUCGAGCGAUGAGACUCCUACGGGAGCACAUCAGCGGCAGACGGGUGAGUAACACGUAGAUGACGUACCCUCAAGACGGGGAUAACGGAUGGAAACAUGCGCUAAUACCGGAUGACCUUACGAUGUCAGAAUGGUAAGGAAAGCUACGGCGCUUGAGGAGCGGUCUGCGGCCCAUCAGCUAGUUGGUAGGGUAAAGGCCUACCAAGGCGAAGACGGGUAGGGGGUGUGAGAGCACGGCCCCCCACAAUGGGACUGAGACACGGCCCAUACUCCUACGGGAGGCAGCAGCAGGGAAUAUUGCACAAUGGACGGAAGUCUGAUGCAGCGACGCCGCGUGAGUGAAGAAGGCCUUCGGGUUGUAAAACUCUUUUGAGGGGGAAGAGCGAGGACGGUACCCCUGGAAUAAGCGUCGGCUAACUACGUGCCAGCAGCCGCGGUAAGACGUAGGACGCGAGCGUUAUCCGGAUUUACUGGGCGUAAAGCGUCUGUAGGCGGAUGUGUAAGUUGGGCGUGAAAGCUCCGGGCUUAACCCGGAGAGGCCGUUCAAUACUGCAUAACUUGAGGGUGUCAGAGGGGAGCGGAAUUCCCGGUGUAGCGGUAAAAUGCGCAGAGAUCGGGAGGAACACCAGUGGCGGAGGCGGUUCCCUGGGGCACACCUGACGCUGAGAGACGAAAGCUAGGGGAGCGAACAGGAUUAGAGACCCUGGUAGUCCUAGCCCUAAACGAUGAAUGCUAGGUGUGGGAUCG